ensembl:lncRNA
GAAACCUCUGAUUCUAGACUUUAAACAGGAAUGCUCUCGCUUUCCCCUCGUCUCCAUAACUACGUUCUCGGGGGACUGGGGAGUUUAAGCUGAAAUUAGAUGGCUACAAGUGCUAACACCUGCUACGAGUUCAUCAGUUUUUGCUGGCUUUACAGCAGUGUCAGGUAUUUCAACAGUUUAUGCAGUGAAAGAUGGAGAAGGGAGCAGUGGGCCUCUCAUGGUGGGCCAUUUUUUCUCGUAGCUUUUCUCAUUUCGCUGCCUUCACAGCCAUGCUGUGACGGAGCACGGCUGUCCUUUCUCUGGCUUCCACCUCAUUGCCGAUGGCUGCAGGAGUAAGACCAAUGGAGGUGGCCACAAAUGCCUUCCUCAUCUGAGGGAGUCAGAAACACAUGAAGGCCUCUCAAGGCAGGGAGAGACCCAGCCCAAACUUCGCUGCCCCCAUUCACGGCUGUUCUCCAAAGGGGAGGCAAGCCUGAACGUUGGCAUGGCAGGGAGACAGCACAUCGGAAAACAGCAUCGACUUCCCCAUUCUGCUCAUGUCUGGUUGUGCAACUUGCUUCAAGUUACACAGCGCUCCACUUUACAAAGAUUUUCAAUAUUAAAUAGCCUCUUCUAUGGGUUCUGAACUGCGUCUGCUUUCAUCCAUCUCUUCAUUUUCACCCUACCAUUUUUAAACUCAGGAAGACCUAGCACUACACUGUCGGAUGGUUCUUCUACCCCACUCCCAGAACUCUUCGCUACACCUCUACGUCCUCACCCUAGCCAGCUGAGAGGGGAACCGAGGCUGGCUUCCAAGCUCACCUAGUCAGCAAAGAUAGAGCUGACAGCUGAGUCCACAUGAGUCUGGCUGCGAAGGUCAUCCUCCUCCCACCACACCUCGCUGUCUCUAGCAGAGUCUGGGUGAUCCCUAUCAGGGUAAGCAUUCUUUCAAGUCAUCUGGAAGAACUAAAUCAACAUUCUGAAAUGAGUUUUGAAUGCUCCAUACACCUGAGAAGAAUAAAGGAUCUUUCCCACUCCUGCGGGGGUUCCCUCAGGAUCAGGUGCAGCGUGGCCCACACUUCACAUUGAUUAGUUCUUGUAAAGAAGCCAAAUUCCACAGACCCUCUCAUUGAAUAUGGAGUUUAAAAUCCUUACUUGAGGAACUGAGGAAAUUCUCCCCAGCUAAAAAUCCAGCCCAACAGGAAAUCCAGGAAGAAAUAAAGAAAUGCUGACAAGGCAUGCCAGUCUGAAUUCCCUGAGCAGUUGGCCUGUUUGACUUUGUGUGAUGGUGGGCCAACCUGUGUGCCUGCCGGCUCACACCACCGUAGCUCUUCAAACACAUUCUAUAGAUCCCGCUAAUAAAUUCCGUUUGGCUGCAACCCUUUCCCAGUUCCAGGCAGUUGCCUCUGAAGUGUAAGUGCAGCCUGUCUUGAAGCCAGGCUACUGCCACUUACUGGUGAUCUGUACCUCUUUGCAAAACUAAUCUACGCUGCAUUUAAAGACAGGAAGCAGGGUUUGAAUGAAAAUGCAGUACCAUGGCUAGAGGACACAGCUCUCACACCUUCUGCAGCUCCAGAAUAAGUGCUAUGUUUUAAAAAUAUAUAUGUAUGUGUUGGCAACAUUGAAAAGGGGGCUAAAAAAACAUCCCCCACAGAAGUGAGAGCAGCAGCAAAAGAAACGUUAGCGCCCUGCUGACGGGAACAAUAGAGCAUAUGGACAUCACACUGUGCUUGCCAAGCAGACGAGGGCAGGAUGAUCAAAAUGGAGUCAAUCUGCUUCUCUAAUAGCAGAAGAAUCGCCUGCGUGAAUACUCUCUCCAAGUGUGCACCGAGGCUCUUUAAUUGCCUGAGAAAGGAGAGAGGGUUUGGUUCACAUUUUAGCCAAGCAUAUGCCUUCCACUGGGUGCCUUUAUCUCAGAGCGCUUCCUGUGGGGAGUCUCAGGUGGCCACCAUCUGUGGAUCUACACACCUGAGACCUGGCACUAAGGCAGAACAUCACUCAGCAAGGGUUCCCGCACAGAAACCAUUCUUGACUGUCCCUGGGGUGGAGCUGAUUCCACCCGAGGCAUAGAAAAAGGUCUACUACAAAGCUCAGCUCAGGAGGAGAGUCGUCACUGUCCUCCAAGCGACUUCCUGGUUCCCACCUAUUUCCUUCUAAACCCAAUCCAAUCCCUUUCCCCUUCAGGAAAUCGAGUAGCAUGAAAGGUUACAAACCUCAAGGUCAACCUUUUUGUGUGUGUGCAAAUUUUUCAUCUUUAGUUCAAUAGUGAUUGAAAGGGAAAUGCAGAUGGCUUGACACAGCCCAUCACUUUUUCUGAGAACCAUCUGGAAAUAAAUUUCCUGUUGCUGUGAGUUGAAUUGUCCUUCUUACAACCAUGUUUGAUUGGCACUCUUGUAUCCUGUUUCCCUCCAUAAGGACUUUCCAACCCAAAAAGCACAGUGUGAGCAUAAGUAGAGGCCUUGUAUACUCUUUCCUGUGACUAAAGUAGUCUACACAAACACAACUCUGAAAUUUGGGUUUAAAGCACAAAAUGCUUCUCUGUUCUCUAGACUCAUGUAUCUAAGUGCCUGUUAAACAUUCUCAACUUGGAUGUCACACAGGGAUUCAAAAUUGUGUCACAAACAUAUUUCUCUCUCUGAAUCUCCACUGCCUCCUCUCCAGUCCAAAUUACAUCAUGUGUCACCUGGAAAACUACGAAACUCUCCCUCCCGAUUAGCAUUCUUCUAACCCUGAGCUCCCUUCCAUCUAUUUUCCAAACAAAAGAUAGAGUAUUUUUUAAACACCAAUUGUAUGACUUCACUUUCCUACUUAAAAUGUCUCAAUAAUUUCUCAUCACACUUCUGUUAGGAGCCAAACUUCU